rnacentral:rRNA from 1 species
UACGUAGGUGGCAAGCGUUGUCCGGAUUUAUUGGGUUUAAAGGGUGCGUAGGCGGCAUUUUAAGUCAGUGGUGAAAUACUUCAGCUCAACUGGAGAGGUGCCAUUGAUACUGGGAUGCUUGAGUACUGAUGAGGUAGGCGGAAUGGACGGUGUAGCGGUGGAAUGCUUAGAUAUCGUCCAGAACACCGAUAGCGAAGGCAGCUUACUAAGGAGUAACUGACGCUGAGGCACGAAAGUGUGGGGAUCAAACAGG